GACGAACGCUGGCGGCGGGCUUAACACAUGCAAGUCGAACGGAAAGGCCCUGCUUUCGUGUGGUGCUCGCGGGGCGAAGGUGUGUGAUACACGGGAGUAUCCUUGCCUUGGGUGUGUGAUAACUUCAAGAAGCUGGUGCUAAUACCUGCUAGGAGCUGCUGCUGCAGGGGGGUGUUUGGAAAGUUUCGGCUGUGUUGGGUGUAGUCUGGGCUUAUCAGCUGGUUGGGUGAGUAUUGGCUUAGCAAGGGUUUGGCUGGUGGCCGGCCUGAGAGGGGGAACAGCCACCAUGGUACUGCGAUACGGACCAGUCUCCUACGGUAGGCAGCAGUCGGGAAUCUUGCACAAUGGGCGGAAGCGUGAUGCAGCAGUGCCGCGUGCGGGAUGACGGCCUUCGGGUUGUAAACCGCUUUCGCCUGUGACGAAGCGUGUGUGACGGUAAUGGGUAAAGAAGCACCGGCUAACUACGUG
rnacentral:rRNA from 1 species